rnacentral:rRNA from 1 species
AGAGUUUGAUCAUGGCUCAGAUUGAACGCUGGCGGCAGGCCUAACACAUGCAAGUCGAACGGUAACAGGAAGCAGCUUGCUGCUUCGCUGACGAGUGGCGGACGGGUGAGUAAUGUCUGGGAAACUGCCUGAUGGAGGGGGGAUAACUACUGGAAACGGUAGCUAAUACCGCAUAAUGUCGCAGGACCAAAGAGGGGGACCUUCGGGCCUCUUGCCAUCAGAUGUGCCCAGAUGGGAUUAGCUUGUUGGUGAGGUAACGGCUCACCAAGGCGACGAUCCCUAGCUGGUCUGAGAGGAUGACCAGCCACACUGGAACUGAGACACGGUCCAGACUCCUACGGGAGGCAGCAGUGGGGAAUAUUGCACAAUGGGCGCAAGCCUGAUGCAGCCAUGCCGCGUGUAUGAAGAAGGCCUUCGGGUUGUAAAGUACUUUCAGCGGGGAGGAAGGUGUUGUGGUUAAUAACCACAGCAAUUGACGUUACCCGCAGAAGAAGCACCGGCUAACUCCGUGCCAGCAGCCGCGGUAAUACGGAGGGUGCAAGCGUUAAUCGGAAUUACUGGGCGUAAAGCGCACGCAGGCGGUCUGUCAAGUCGGAUGUGAAAUCCCCGGGCUCAACCUGGGAACUGCAUUCGAAACUGGCAGGCUUGAGUCUUGUAGAGGGGGGUAGAAUUCCAGGUGUAGCGGUGAAAUGCGUAGAGAUCUGGAGGAAUACCGGUGGCGAAGGCGGCCCCCUGGACAAAGACUGACGCUCAGGUGCGAAAGCGUGGGGAGCAAACAGGAUUAGAUACCCUGGUAGUCCACGCCGUAAACGAUGUCUACUUGGAGGUUGUGCCCUUGAGGCGUGGCUUCCGGAGCUAACGCGUUAAGUAGACCGCCUGGGGAGUACGGCCGCAAGGUUAAAACUCAAAUGAAUUGACGGGGGCCCGCACAAGCGGUGGAGCAUGUGGUUUAAUUCGAUGCAACGCGAAGAACCUUACCUGGUCUUGACAUCCACAGAACCCUGUAGAGAUACGGGGGUGCCUUCGGGAGCUGUGAGACAGGUGCUGCAUGGCUGUCGUCAGCUCGUGUUGUGAAAUGUUGGGUUAAGUCCCGCAACGAGCGCAACCCUUAUCCUUUGUUGCCAGCGGUCCGGCCGGGAACUCAAAGGAGACUGCCAGUGAUAAACUGGAGGAAGGUGGGGAUGACGUCAAGUCAUCAUGGCCCUUACGACCAGGGCUACACACGUGCUACAAUGGCGCAUACAAAGAGAAGCGACCUCGCGAGAGCAAGCGGACCUCAUAAAGUGCGUCGUAGUCCGGACUGGAGUCUGCAACUCGACUCCAUGAAGUCGGAAUCGCUAGUAAUCGUGGAUCAGAAUGCCACGGUGAAUACGUUCCCGGGCCUUGUACACACCGCCCGUCACACCAUGGGAGUGGGUUGCAAAAGAAGUAGGUAGCUUAACCUUCGGGAGGGCGCUUACCACUUUGUGAUUCAUGACUGGGGUGAAGUCGUAACAAGGUAACCGUAGGGGAACCUGCGGUUGGAUCACCU